UGACACAGGGUGGAGAAGAAGACAGGAGAGGAAUACCUGGAACAAGACACUGAUCCUUCCAUGUGUCUGUGCCCUCCUUUCUUCCCCUCUUUUUCCAACCGUGCCAUCCAUUUCAGUGCCCACCUUUGUGGUGUGCCAGGACCAAGCCUGGAGAUCCAUUCGUGGGGAUCAUGGAAGGGAAGAAUAUCUCCAGCAAGAAACUCCUCACCUUCCUGCUCUUCACCUUCACCUUCAGCUUCUGUUUCUUUGCUUCUUUUCGUCAGUUCAGGACUCCUGAGCCAGAGCUUUAUAAUUCCAGCAACUCUACACAAACAGCCCAUGCUGGAAACAGCAGAGCCCCACCAAAGAGUCAGCGCAGGCUGACCAUCCUGCUCUGGAAGUUGCCCUUUGGGCACAAAAUCAAGUUCAGAAACUGCUCGACACUCUACAGCACUCCCGACUGCCAUUUCACCUCCAACCGCAGCUGGUCCCAGAAGGCCGAUGCUGUCAUCAUGCACCACCGGGAUGUGUACAGGGACACGGAGGGGCUGGCCCAGCUCCCCAGACUCCCUUCCCAGCUCUGGAUCUGGUUCAACCUGGAGUCCCCAAGCCACUCUCCAAACUUAGGUGCCAUGGACAACCUCUUCAACCUGACCAUGUCUUACCGGAGAGACUCGGACAUCUUCACCCCUUACGGGGAGCUACAGCUCCUUGGCCAGCCUCAGCCCCUCAGCAUCCCACCUAAAACCAGACUGGUGGCUUGGGUGGUCAGCAACUGGAAAGCAAACUCUUACCGGGUGAAGUACUACCAUCAGCUGAAGCAGCACAUCACCGUGGAUGUCUAUGGGCAGUAUCACUUGCCCCUGCCCCGGCACGAGCUCCUUCCCACCAUGUCCCAGUACAGCUUCUACCUGGCUUUUGAGAACUCGCAGCACGAAGAUUACAUCACCGAGAAGCUCUGGAGGAAUGCCUUGUCCUCUGGCACCAUCCCUGUCGUGCUGGGGCCACCUCGAGAAAACUACGAGCACUUCUUGCCUCCUGACUCCUUCAUCCACGUUGAUGAUUUUGCCAAUGCUGGGGAGCUGGCACGGUACCUGCUGGAGCUGAGCGAGGACCCCGAGAGGUACCAGAGCUACUUCCAGUGGCGCAAGUGGUUGAAACCUGUGCUUGGGGGUGACUGGGGCCUGCAUUUCUGCAGAGCUUGUCACUUCUUGCAGACAACAGAGAACAGGUACCGGGUUGUGCCUGAUCUGUCUGAGUGGUUCGUGUAACUGCUGUUUGCUCAGCUCUCUCUGCUGCACCACAAUCUUUUUGUCCUUGCUGACAGGCUGCAAUUCCGGGGGAUGAUUGAACUUGAUGGAAAUGGAGGAACAAGAGGAGCUCUGAAAUGAAAAAGGACAAGGAAGCAAUGAGGUGUUGAUUGCUUGAAUCCAUUGAUCAGCACCAGCCUGAGAACAAAACCUUCACCCUGAAAUCUGAACCUGGGCAAGAAAUCCCCAGUUUUCUCUUCCCAACCUCCCCACCCCAACCCCUUUGCUUGCAAGACCUGGAGUCAUUUAACACUUAUUAAAAAAGGAUGAGUCCCAGAGGGUUUUGGACUGUUUUAACUGGGGCAUGGCAGCACUGGGGGGAUUGUCCCUCUCCUUUUGUGCUUGAACCUGGGGUUAUUUUUUGCAGGUCAAGGCCCUUCCUUGGAUCCAAGGGCUAUGUGGGCCCUUUGGUGAGCUUUUAGGAGGGCAGCAGGGCCAGCAAAGGAUGCAGGAGCAAAGGCAAAAUAAAAAUGUAGGAGACAUAUUUAUGAAUAUUAAUCUCAUCCCCCAAAUUGUGCUGCAGCCUUUGAAAGGGCAACAACCAAAAGAUGAAUUCCAGUUGUGCUGAAGCAUCCACGGGCAGCCCAGGGGGUGUUAGGAGGUUGCAGCCAGCCAGGCUUAAGCCCUGGUCCUUGAGGAGGGGACGUAGGACUGGCAGGACAAAUAUA